rnacentral:tRNA from 1 species
AAAAUCUUAAGUUAAAAAAACUAUAAACCUUCAAAGUUUAAUAUAUAAGUUAAAUUUAUAGAUUUUA